rnacentral:rRNA from 1 species
CCUACGGGUGGCUGCAGUGGGGAAUAUUGGACAAUGGGCGAAAGCCUGAUCCAGCCAUGCCGCGUGUGUGAAGAAGGCCUUCGGGUUGUAAAGCACUUUCAGUGGGGAAGAAAGCCUUGGGGCUAAUACCCUCGAGGAAGGACAUCACCCACAGAAGAAGCGCCGGCUAACUCCGUGCCAGCAGCCGCGGUAAUACGGAGGGUGCGAGCGUUAAUCGGAAUUACUGGGCGUAAAGCGCGCGUAGGCGGUCUGAUAAGCCGGUUGUGAAAGCCCCGGGCUCAACCUGGGAACGGCAUCCGGAACUGUCAGGCUAGAGUGCAGGAGAGGAAGGUAGAAUUCCCGGUGUAGCGGUGAAAUGCGUAGAGAUCGGGAGGAAUACCAGUGGCGAAGGCGGUCUUCUGGACUGACACUGACGCUGAGGUGCGAAAGCGUGGGUAGCAAACAGGAUUAGAUACCCGAGUAGUC